UAUUCAACGAGUUCACACCUUGGCGACAGGCCCGGGUAAUCUUUGAAAUUUCAUCGUGAUGGGGAUAGAUCAUUGCAAUUGUUGGUCUUCAACGAGGAAUUCCUAGUAAGCGCGAGUCAUCAGCUCGUGUUGACUUCGUCAUUGCCCUUUGUACACACCGCCCGUCGCUCCUACCGAUUGAAUGAUCCGGUGAAGUGUUCAGAUCGCGGCGACGUGGGUGGUUCACCGUCUGCGACGUCGCGAGAAGUCCACUAAACCUUAUCAUUUAGAGGAAGGAGAAGUCGUAACAAAGUUUCCGUAGGUGAACCUGCAGAAGGAUUAUUG
rfam:Brassica napus, WGS project CCCW01000000 data, contig: 34530